CAUUGUUACCAUGGCAACUGUUGGUAAAUUUUACUGGUUCAGUUUCAUUUGUUGCUGUCUAGUAGAACUCACAAUGAAUGGUCAAACAAUGAUCACUUUCAUUUCUUGACUUUCAUUUUUAUUUAUCUCUUGAAUGAAAUUAUCCAACACUAUGGUAUCUUAUAAUAUGAGGGUGGUUAUGGUGUAAUGGUAAAGUUAUUCCGCUUGUGACCUGGAGGUCAUGGGUUUGAGAUACAAAAACAAUCUCUUUGGCAGAGGUAAGGCUGUGUACAUCAACCCUCCCCAGAGCCCACAAGUGUGCGAUACUUCGUGCACUGGGUCACCCUUUUUAUGAUGUCUUAUAAUAUAUACGGUCAUGCAUUCUGAACCAUGAAUCUUAUUUUGUUGAUUUUUCACAUAGAGACAAGUAAUUAACAAAUAGCAAUAUGCAUUGAAUUUCUAACAUUCAUUUUCAAGUAUUUUCUUCUUGUUUUCUUUGGAUUGUCAAUAUAAGAUGGUGCCUAUUGAAAGCUCAAAAGUUGUAAACGAAGGUCAAUGAAUUUCAUUGACUUACCGAAAAUGAUAAGCAAAUUAGUUUAUUGUUUAUUAGAUUGCGCUGCUUACUACAAACAGUAUUAUUGGAAACACACAUUGAAUUUAAGAUUCUCAAGUUUGCAAAUCCAUCUUACUAAAAUAAAUGUUUCAGUUUUCAUUUGACCAAACUUCCUUUGUUGCACAAUACUCUUUUAUAAUUUUGGUGUCAAGCACACGUUUUCUUAGGUUUAGAGGUUUAUUUGUCCCUUUUUUUCU
rnacentral:misc_RNA from 1 species